rnacentral:rRNA from 1 species
AUUGGCGGCACGGCCAUGGCAGCAGUCUUGCUCCCGGACGACCUCCUCCUCGAGAUACUCAUCCGCGUGAAGGAUGCGGUUGCCCUGUUCCGAUGUGCCACGACGUGCAAGCAGUGGUGCCAUCUCAUCGCCGAUCUGUCCUUUCUUCGACGCCGCUGGCCACAAGACGCCAACCAUUCAUCCUCCACCUUCGUCGGCUUCCUCACCAUGGGCGACAGCGGAGGGCCUUUUCCUCGCCGGGAGCUGUGGUUUGUCCCGACGCCGCGAUCGGCUCUGAGCCCUGGCCCCCGCACCCUGACUUCCUUCGUGCCCGCUGUCCGUGCAAGCCUAUUUGACCAUGCGGUGCCGCUCGUAUCGCGCCAUGGCCUUGUUGUCCUUCUCCUUGAACAGCGCGACGUCCAUGACCGCGUGGACCAGACCAUCGUCCAAUUGGCGGUAUGCAAUCCGCUUGUCGGCACGUGCGACAUGCUCCCUGCUCUAAAGUUCAGCUCGCCCUUCGAUCACAUGGACAAUGGCUAUGCCAUUCUAACCGGUGCGGAUUGUUGGUCCGACGGUGAGUCAUCGCAGCCGGUUGAGCCGCGCAACUCGUCUUUCUUCAAAGUGGUAAUCGUCGGCUCGGGCUGCCAUGAUGUCAAGUAUAGUGUCUUUGUGUUCUCGUCUGACAACGGAAGCUGGAGUGUCGUGCAUACCAAUUUAUUGGACAUUACUCAAGAAUGGGGCCACUACGGGCUGUUUAGCGAUGCCAUUGUGUGCCGUGGCAUGGCACAAUGGGUAUUUAUUUAUAACGCAGAACAAUAUUUUCGUGUCAUAAGUCUGAAUGCCCGGACCGGCAACAUCUCUACCACAAAGCACCGUUUCAAAAUUAACUACGACUUCCUCCAGACUAACCCGUGCCUUACACUAGCCAUGGAUGAGAGACUAUCACUGGUAAGUACUCAAUGGAAAAUUCCCCAACUGGAUAUCUGGCAACAAAAAGAAAACCAAGAAAAUAUUAACGCUACAUCCGAAUGGCUAUGCACCCGGACCAUCGAGCUAAAACUACUUGAGAAGAUGACUCGAGGAAGAGAGCUACGUGUCUUGGGGGAGAAGUGCGGCACACUGCUCAUCAGCGACGACCACCGCAAGCUCAUUUACACCAUCGCCCUCGAAACUGGGACGAUUGAGGAGGUGGAGGAUUGGCCACGUGGUGUCGACAUCUCCCGUUGGGAUGCCAUAGCCAUGGAGAUUGAGUGGCCUGCAAUCUUCAUUUCUCGGCUU